ACGGAAGGCAGCAGUAGGGAAUAUUGCACAAUGGGGGGAACCCUGAUGCAGCAACGCCACGUGUGGGAAGAAGCAUUUCGGUGUGUAAACCACUGUCGUGAGGGAAUAAGACCCGCCUCCGGGCGGGGUUGAAUGUACCUCGAAAGGAAGCACCGGCAAACUUCGUGCCAGCAGCCGCGGUAAUACGAGGGGUGCAAGCGUUGUUCGGAAUCACUGGGCGUAAAGGGAGCGUAGGCGGAAAUGCAAGCAAUCUGUACAAUACCGGGGCCCAACCCCGGACCUGCAGAUUGGACUGUGUUUCUUGGAUAGUUCAGGGGCAGGCGGAAUUCCUGGUGUAGCGGUGGAAUGCGUAGAGAUCAGGAAGAACACCGAUGGCGAAGGCAGCCUGCUGGGGACUUAUCGACGCUGAGGCUCGAAAGUGCGGGUAGCAAACAGGAUUAGAUACCCUGGUA
rnacentral:rRNA from 1 species